rnacentral:rRNA from 1 species
GAUGAACGCUGGCGGCGUGCCUAAUACAUGCAAGUCGAGCGAAGCGGGGACGGGGGAGUAACACGUCGAUGACCUCCUAUAAGACUGGGAUAACUUCGGGAAACCGGAGCUAAACCGGCUUCUUAUAGAAGGAUCCUCGCUGCAUUAGCUAGUUGGUAAGGUAACGGCUUACAAAGGCCACGAUGCAGAGCCGACCUGAGAGGGUGAUCAGCCACACUGGAACUGAGACACGGUCCAGACUCCUACGGGAGGCAGCAGUAGGGAAUCUUCCGCAAUGGGCGAAAGCCUGACGGAGCAACGCCGCGUGAGUGAUGAAGGUCUUCGGAUAGUAAAACUCUUUUAUUAGGGAAGCGGUACCUAAUCAGAAAGCCACGGCUAACUACGUGCCAGCAGCCGCGGUAAUAC